GACGAACCGUGCGAACGUUGUUCGGAUUCACUGGGCUUAAAGGGCGCGUAGGCGGACGGUCAAGUCAGGGGUGAAAUCUUUCAGCUCAACUGGAAAAGCGCCUUUGAUACUGAUCGUCUCGAGGGAGGUAGGGGCAUGUGGAACUUCCGGUGGAGCGGUGAAAUGCGUAGAUAUCGGAAGGAACGCCGGUGGCGAAAGCGACGUGCUGGACCUCUUCUGACGCUGAGGCGCGAAAGCUAGGGGAGCAAACGGG
rnacentral:rRNA from 1 species